rnacentral:tRNA from 1 species
GUUGUGGCUCAGUGGUAGAGUGUUUGCCUAGCACAUACGGGGCCAUGGGUUCGAUCCUCAGCACACA